rnacentral:rRNA from 1 species
UACGGAGGGUGCGAGCGUUAUCCGGAAUUACUGGGUUUAAAGGGUGCGUAGGCGGCCAAGUAAGUCAGGAGUGAAAGUUUGCGGCUCAACCGUAAAAUUGCUUUUGAUACUGCUUAGCUAGAAUCAGGAUGAGGUUAGCGGAAUGUGGCAUGUAGCGGUGAAAUGCAUAGAUAUGCCAUAGAACACCAAUUGCGAAGGCAGCUGGCUAGACCUGUAUUGACGCUGAGGCGCGAAAGCGUGGGGAGCAAACAGG